UACAUGGGGUGCAAACGUUGCUCGGAAUUAUUGGGCGUAAAGCGCGCGUAGGCGGUUACUCAAGUCGGAUGUGAAAGCCCUCGGCUUAACUGAGGAAGUGCACCCGAAACUGAGUAGCUAGAGUACCAAAGAGGGUCGCGGAAUUCCCGGUGUAGAGGUGAAAUUCGUAGAUAUCGGGAGGAACACCGGUGGCGAAGGCGGCGACCUGGGUGGAUACUGACGCUGAGGCGCGAAAGCGUGGGGAGCGAUCCGG
rnacentral:rRNA from 1 species